rnacentral:rRNA from 1 species
AGCGAACGCUGGCGGCAGGCUUAACACAUGCAAGUCGAGCGGGCACUUCGGUGUCAGCGGCAGACGGGUGAGUAACACGUGGGAACGUACCCUUUGGUUCGGAAUAACGCUGGGAAACUAGCGCUAAUACCGGAUACGCCCUUUUGGGGAAAGGCUUGCUGCCGCAGGAUCGGCCCGCGUCUGAUUAGCUAGUUGGGGGGGUAAUGGCCUAACAAGGCGACGAUCAGUAGCUGGUCUGAGAGGAUGAUCAGCCACACUGGGACUGAGACACCGCCCAGACUCCUACCGGAGGCAGCAGUGGGGAAUAUUGGACAAUGGGCGCAAGCCUGAUCCAGCCAUGCCGCGUGAGUGAUGAAGGCCUUAGGGUUGUAAAGCUCUUUUGUCCGGGACGAUAAUGACGGUACCGGAAGAAUAAGCCCCGGCUAACUUCGUG